rnacentral:lncRNA from 1 species
GUUGGCUGGCCGACAGACAAGCAUACGGAAGACCUACCUGUCGCCGACGAACCUAAGUACAUUUGUAGUUUAGGUCUAUAAAUAAUUCUAAACAAGUGAAUUGUUUUAAGUUUAUGUGUUUGUGUUUGAUGUAAUACUGUCAGGAAAUGAAAUGGAGUGGAUAUGUUUGCUUGUAUGGGAAACCUGCAGUAUGCUAAUGGUUUGCAUGUGGACCCACAUCACCUCAGCUGGGAUUACAGCUGAAUGAGACCUUCCACUGACUUGAUGACUUGAAGAAGGUUUUGAAGAGGACAACUGGUCCCCCGUUGAGCCCCGUUUUCAUAGUCAUGAUAUACGCCGCCACAUUAGUCCUUGACAGGAAAGGGUUGCUUUUGAUGAACUGCAGUGCUUCGGUGACAGCGUCUGCUCUCAUGAAGAAUAUUUACACUAGCACAAGUAGAGGGUUGUAAAUAAAUGGCUUUGUGGUACACCGCCAGACCACACCACAAAACAGCUCUUCCCUUUGCAAGACUGAUGGAAGGGAGAAGAGCAAUGCAGAAAAAUAUGUGGAACACUAGUGUACAGUACAUGAGUGAAGCCAUUAUCAGAGGCAAUCACAAAAUGAUUUCAUACUGUAUUUGACCGUGUACAGAUGGAAUAAGUUAUGAGCAUGGAUUAAACAGAAAGUGUCACAAAACAAAAGUCCAAAAGC